GGGGGCGCAUUGGCUUCGAUUCUAGAGCGUCGCCUCCCGCUGCAAGUCGAGGACUGAACGGGUUGGCCUCGUAAAAAAUCCUGUUCAAACAAAUAAACGCUAACGAAGAGUUGGCUCUCGCGGCCUAAUAGUGCCGCGACGUCGUUGCCCUGACUCCGGCUGGGGGACAACGGCGCCAUUAGCCGGGCGGGCGUGAGAGGUGAGUGACCGACCUCCGCGCCGGCAUCAAUGUGGUGACUAGGUUCCGGCGGCCCGUGGCCAGGCAACGCCGGAAUCCGAAACUCAAACGGCCACUAAACUUGUAGAUGCGGCUGGUAGCCCGCUAGAAGACGGGGGUUCGACUCCCCCCGCCUCCACUC
rnacentral:tmRNA from 1 species